ACACUCUUACGGGAGGCAGCAGUGGGGAAUUUUGGACAAUGGGCGAAAGCCUGAUCCAGCAAUGCCGCGUGAGUGAAGAAGGCCUUCGGGUUGUAAAGCUCUUUUGUCAGGGAAGAAACGGUGAGAGCUAAUAUCUUUUGCUAAUGACGGUACCUGAAGAAUAAGCACCGGCUAACUACGUGCCAGCAGCCGCGGUAAUACGUAGGGUGCAAGCGUUAAUCGGAAUUACUGGGCGUAAAGCGUGCGCAGGCGGUUUUGUAAGUCUGAUGUGAAAUCCCCGGGCUCAACCUGGGAAUUGCAUUGGAGACUGCAAGGCUAGAAUCUGGCAGAGGGGGGUAGAAUUCCACGUGUAGCAGUGAAAUGCGUAGAUAUGUGGAGGAACACCGAUGGCGAAGGCAGCCCCCUGGGUCAAGAUUGACGCUCAUGCACGAAAGCGUGGGGAGCAAACAGGAUUAGAUACCCGAGUAGUCCC
rnacentral:rRNA from 1 species